rnacentral:rRNA from 1 species
UGGGGAAUAUUGCACAAUGGGCGCAAGCCUGAUGCAGCCAUGCCGCGUGUAUGAAGAAGGCCUUCGGGUUGUAAAGUACUUUCAGCGAGGAGGAAGGCGUUGUGGUUAAUAACCGCAGCGAUUGACGUUACUCGCAGAAGCAGCACCGGCUAACUCCGUGCCAGCAGCCGCGGUAAUACGGAGGGUGCAAGCGUUAAUCGGAAUUACUGGGUGUAAAGCGCACGCAGGCGGUCUGUCAAGUCGGAUGUGAAAUCCCCGGGCUCAACCUGGGAACUGCAUCCGAAACUGGCAGGCUAGAGUCUUGUAGAGGGGGGUAGAAUUCCAGGUGUAGCGGUGAAAUGCGUAGAGAUCUGGAGGAAUACCGGUGGCGAAGGCGGCCCCCUGGACAAAGACUGACGCUCAGGUGCGAAAGCGUGGGGAGCAAACA